ACAACAACAACUACCCAGUAUAGUCCCACAAAGUGGGAGUCUGGGGAGGGUAAUAUGUAGACGAGCCUUACCCCUACCCGAAAGGGCAGAGAGGCUGUUUCCAAUCGACCCCCGGCUCAGUGCACGAAAGGAAAGACAAAAACAAAGGAGCAUUAGUAACUCCAGCAGAAAUAUCGUAGAUAAUUAUCUAAACAAAAGAAACAUAAAUAAAGUAGCAUGCAAUAAUAUAAUACAGUAACUACCAUAAGGGAGACACAAGCCAAAACACAAAUCUUCUAUGAAUAGCCCUGCCAACACCAAACUCUAGGAGCCCCUAUCCUACAACCCUGAUACUAGACCUCCAAACUUUCCUAUCAAGGGUCAUAUCCUCGGAAACCCGCAUUCUAGUCAUGUCAUGCCUAAUCACCUCUCCUCAAUACUUCUUAGGCCUCCCUCUGCCUCGCCGGACGCCGACCAUUGCCAUCCGUUCACAACUCCUCACCGGGGCAUCAGGACUCCUCCUCCGCACAUGCCCGAACCACCUCAGCCUCGCUUCUCGCAUCUUCUCAUCCACCGGGGCCACCCCCACCUUCUCUCGAAUAACUUUAUUCUUAAUAUUAUCUAACUUGGUGAGCCCGCACAUCCACCUGAGCAU
rnacentral:lncRNA from 1 species